GUACUGCGUUAUUUAAUUCCCCAGUCAGAUGUUAUGGUAAAUUAUUUAUAAUUCUUUGACCUUUUCAUCAUGUAUAUUAUAAUUUUCAUGAUUAAAUAACCAGUAAAUUUAAUAUUUUUGUACAUAAAAUUUUGCAGCUAAAACGCUAAAAAAGUUUUCUGUCAGGGGGGGGGGGGGGCUUCGCAGACCCCUUGUCUAUUGUGCCUACAGUAGACUGAAUACCUAGCUACACCCCUGAAAUUGUUUAAACAGUUAUAAGAUUUUUAUAAACCUUAGUUGCUUUCUUUGCCUACAAUAUGAAAAUGUUGUCAUCCUAUAAUAUUUGUUUACAUUUCUUACAAAUUGGUCAAAAUAUGAUUCUGAUUAAAGUUA
rnacentral:lncRNA from 1 species